rnacentral:misc_RNA from 1 species
GAUGAAGAACGUAGCGAAAUGCGAUAAGUAAUGUGAAUUGCAGAAUUCAGUGAAUCAUCGAAUCUUUGAACGCACCUUGCGCCCUUUGGCUAUUCCGAAGGGCAUGCCUGUUUGAGUAUCAUGAACACCUCAACUCUCAUGGCUUGCCAUGAUGAGCUUGGACUUUGGGGGUCUUGCUGGCCUGUGGUCAGCUCCUCUCAAAUGAAUUAGCUUGCCAGUGUUUGGUGGCAUCACGGGUGUGAUAACUAUCUACGCUUGUGGUCCCGCCACCAGGUUAACCUUCCAGUGAUGGGGGUUCGCUGGGGCUUAUAAAUGUCUCUCCUCAGUGAGGACAGCUCUUUGAACGUUUGAUCUCAAAUCAGGUAGGACUACCCGCUGAACUUAAGCAUAUCAAUAAGCGGAGGA